rnacentral:lncRNA from 1 species
GUAACUGAUAGCACACACACACACACAAAAUAAUCAGCUCACAUCAAAAUCUGGCUUCAGUAGCUUCCUGCUAUUCUUAGAAUAAAAUGUGUACCCCUUAGCAGUGCUGGAAAGGUCCUCCAUGGUCUGGCCCUGCUUACCUCUCCUACCUCACUGGCCUUCUUUCGGUUUCGUAAGUGCCCAGAGUUCUUUUCCACCUCAGGGCCUUUGCAUAUGCUAUUCCCAUUGCCUGGAUUGUUGUUUCCUCAGCUCUUCAAAUGUCUGGCUUCUCCUUAGCUUUCAGCUCUCCCCUCAAAUGUCACCUCCCCAAGGAGACCUUCUAAGUCAGCUGUGGCCCUAGCACUCAUCAAUUGAUACAUUCACAUGAGAACAUUAGAGGAAGGACUGUUUACAAAGAUGUGGGGAACCAUAGUACAGUACCCCAGGAGCAAAAGAGGGCUUGGUACCUCUCUUAAGUCUGGAGGGAAGAAGUCAGGGACUACCUGAAAUCCAAAAGGAGAGUUCCAUGGAGAGGGCUGCCCCCAGAGGACGUGAGACUUUAAAUCCAAUGAUUCAUCAGCUCAAGGCAACCAAAGCUCAAGCAGGUAGGGAGCCCUGAAGGAGAGCAUCCUAAAAUCACUCUCCUCCCUCCUUCUUUUCUCCUGCCAGGAUUCCCUGUUGUCCAGACCCAUCAGAAACGAGAGGGCAAGGAAGCCUAUUGAAAGGAAAUAGAAAUUGGCAAACUUUCCCUGUAGGGAACUAGAUGAUAAUAUUUUCAACUUUAGGGGCCAUACCAUCUGUCACAACUACUCAAUUCUGACAUGGUAGCAUGAGAAAAGUCAUGGCCAGUAAAUAAAUGAAUGGCUGUGGUUGUGUUUCAAUAAAACUUUAUUAACAAAAUAAACAGUGAACCAUAUGUCCUUGGGCUGGAUGUAAAACACUCCAGAUAAUCUACCAGGUCAAAAAAUACAGUGGGAAAAUGUGAGGAAGGUCUCUAGGGUUCAACAGAAUGUAUCCAGCAUCUCUUCUCCAGCCACCCCAUCAAAAGUAUAAGUACCCCACUCCCCUCAGAGAUAUAGAGAAGAAGCUAGUGGUUACCAAUGGGAAGAGCGGCAAAAUGGAGGUAGGGGAUGAAGAGGUACAAAGCACUCUCCAUAAAAUAAAAACGCUACAAGGAUAUACUGUGGGCUUCCCUCAUAGCUCAGUUGGUAAAGAAUCUGCUUGCAGUGUAGGAGACCUGGGUUCGAUUUCUGGGUCGGGAAGAUCCCCUGGAGAAGGAA